rnacentral:tRNA from 1 species
GGGCCCGUAGCUCAGCUAGGUAGAGCAUCUGGCUUUUAACCAGGUGGCCCGGGGUUCGAAUCCCCGCGGGCCCGCCA